rnacentral:rRNA from 1 species
GACAGAGGUCCCGAGCGUUAGGCGGAAUCACUGGGCUUAAAGCGUGUGUAGGCGGCGGCCUAAGUCCCUUGUGAAAUCCCACGGCUCACCCGUGGAACUGCUCGGUAUACUGGGUCGCUUGAGCCACUUAGGGGCUACCGGAACAAAUGGUGGAGCGGUGAAAUGCGUAGAUAUCAUUUGGAACGCCAAUGGUGAAAACAGGUAGCUGGGAGUGUGCUGACGCUGAGACACGAAAGCCAGGGGAGCAAACAGG